rnacentral:sRNA from 1 species
UUGUGCAGCACAACAUGGUGGGGACCUGGUGGGGCUGUGGCCUUGGCCUCUGGGUCAAUGGACGAUGCAGUUAUUGAUCGUUUAAGUGAGAUGGGCAGAUAGGGGUCUGUUAUAAGCAGAGGAAUAGAAUCAAGUUUUGUUUUGUAGCAGAGCUCCCUCAUAAGAGUCACUGGACAAGGAUGAGGUUAGAAGUUCUGCCCAGAAUGAGGGCAGGGGCUUCCUUCUUGGGCCAACUUCACUGCCUUGUGGCUGCAGGUGGACGUAUUGGUGACCACAGCUGGCGGCGUGGAGGAAGACCUCAUCAAGUGCCUGGCGCCCACGUACUUAGGCGAGUUUAGCCUCAGGGGGAAGGAGCUCCGGGAGAACGGGAUCAAUAGGAUCGGAAACCUGCUGGUGCCCAAUGACAAUUACUGCAAGUUUGAGGACUGGCUGAUGCCCAUUCUGGACCAGAUGGUGCUGGAGCAGAACACAGAGGUGGGGCUGGGGCAACCUGGAGGGGCCAGUCCAGUGGGAGUUAGGGGAGGCAUGGCCUGAAGCUCACAUCCUCUCCUAGGGUGUAAAGUGGACGCCUUCUAAGAUGAUCGCCCGUCUGGGCAAGGAGAUCAACAACCCAGAGUCCGUGUAUUACUGGGCCC